AACGAACGCUGGCGGCAGGCCUAACACAUGCAAGUCGAGCGCCCCGCAAGGGGAGCGGCGGACGGGUGAGUAACGCGUGGGAACGUACCCUUUGCUACGGAAUAGCCUCGGGAAACUGGGAGUAAUACCGUAUGUGCCCUUCGGGGGAAAGAUUUAUCGGCAAAGGAUCGGCCCGCGUUGGAUUAGGUAGUUGGUGGGGUAAUGGCCUACCAAGCCGACGAUCCAUAGCUGGUUUGAGAGGAUGAUCAGCCACACUGGGACUGAGACACGGCCCAGACUCCUACGGGAGGCAGCAGUGGGGAAUCUUAGACAAUGGGCGCAAGCCUGAUCUAGCCAUGCCGCGUGAGCGAUGAAGGCCUUAGGGUUGUAAAGCUCUUUCAGUGGGGAAGAUAAUGACUGUACCCACAGAAGAAGCCCCGGCUAACUCCGUGCCAGCAGCCGCGGUAA
rnacentral:rRNA from 1 species